ACCUUGACGGUACCUAACCAGAAAGCCACGGCUAACUACGUGCCAGCAGCCGCGGUAAUACGUAGGUGGCAAGCGUUGUCCGGAAUUAUUGGGCGUAAAGGGCUCGCAGGCGGUUUCUUAAGUCUGAUGUGAAAGCCCCCGGCUCAACCGGGGAGGGUCAUUGGAAACUGGGAAACUUGAGUGCAGAAGAGGAGAGUGGAAUUCCACGUGUAGCGGUGAAAUGCGUAGAGAUGUGGAGGAACACCAGUGGCGAAGGCGACUCUCUGGUCUGUAACUGACGCUGAGGAGCGAAAGCGUGGGGAGCGAACAGGAUUAGAUACCCUGGUAGUCCACGCCGUAAACGAUGAGUGCUAAGUGUUAGGGGGUUUCCGCCCCUUAGUGCUGCAGCUAACGCAUUAAGCACUCCGCCUGGGGAGUACGGUCGCAAGACUGAAACUCAAAGGAAUUGACGGGGGCCCGCACAAGCGGUGGAGCAUGUGGUUUAAUUCGAAGCAACGCGAAGAACCUUACCAGGUCUUGACAUCCUCUGACAACCCUAGAGAUAGGGCUUUCCCUUCGGGGACAGAGUGACAGGUGGUGCAUGGUUGUCGUCAGCUCGUGUCGUGAGAUGUUGGGUUAAGUCCCGCAACGAGCGCAACCCUUGAUCUUAGUUGCCAGCAUUCAGUUGGGCACUCUAAGGUGACUGCCGGUGACAAACCGGAGGAA
rnacentral:rRNA from 1 species